UCAGAGAAUAUCUAGGUGAGUUACUUGUCAACUUCAUAGGACGGAGACAACAGUGUCCAGCUACCAGAGCAAGACAGUCUGAGCAAACCCAGGACACUGAAUUACCGACUGAAGUGAUGAGUCCACAGCUGAGACUUGCCUCAACCCUUCGGGUCCAAUAAGGAAUCAGGAUCAGGUGUGAGAGAGGAGUGCCUGAUGUUAUGAUUUGGAGAGUACUGAGUCUCAGAUGUUCACACUGAUGGAAAAUGCAAGCACAAAAACCUAGAAUUUUAAAGGCCUUCUCUGAGAUCAUCCAGUACAAAUACCCAAAUGGUAAACCUGUCCCUAAAGCCCUUCUGAGCAGAUGGUCAUGGAGCCCGCCCCUUGCUGUACAGUCUGCCAAAUUCUCAAAGAGAAAUGUGAUGUCUUCUACAAAGUCUUUUAUUUGAAGUAUUCCACAAUGUCUGUCACUUCCUGAAAUUCAAAGUCUUUCAUUCUUGAAAUCCUAAAUUGCCCACACAUUUUGUGGCGGUACCAAUGGUCCAUGAGUUGACAUCUAGCGUCUGCCUGGAUCCCAACAUCCACCUAUUGCUGUG